rnacentral:rRNA from 1 species
GCCUAACACAUGCAAGUCGAACGAGAAUCAUUUGAACAGAGGCUUCGGCCGACGGGAUUAUGAGGAAAGUGGCGAACGGGUGAGUAACGCGUGAGAAACCUACCUUUCAGUGGGGGACAACAGUUGGAAACGACUGCUAAUACCGCAUAAUGUAUUCGAGGGGCAUCCCUUGAAUACCAAAGAUUUAUUGCUGAAAGAUGGUCUCGCGUCUGAUUAGCUAGUUGGUGGGGUAACGGCUCACCAAGGCGACGAUAAGUAGCCGGUCUGAGAGGAUGAACGGCCACAUUGGGACUGAGAUACGGCCCAGACUCCUACGGGAGGCAGCAGUGGGGAAUAUUGGGCAAUGGGGGAAACCCUGACCCAGCAACGCCGCGUGAAGGAAGAAGGCUUUCGGGUUGUAAACUUCUUUUAGCAGGGACGAAGGACGUGACGGUACCUGCAGAAAAAGCAACGGCUAACUACGUGCCAGCCGCCGCCGUAAGAC